UAAUAAACUAAUGGUUCAUUAUUAGUCUACCCCCCUUCCCUCUAACAACCUUAGCUUAGUUCUUUUUAAACUUAUUCCUAUUAUGGUUAUGUCCUUGAUUGAUGUUCAAACACUAACUUAAUAAUAGCUAGCUUACUAAUGCUAGGUUCAUUCAAUAUUCCUUAAUUUAAACUUAAAUUGUCAACAACAAGCUAGCUGCUUUCUUUAGUCAAACUCAGUCCAAGAGUUAUGAUCAAACAAGGAUUUUAAGCAUUAUAGUCUCCCAACAAGGCAUACAUAAUCUACAGGUCUUAUUUUAGCUUGACUUGUCUUUAAUAGGGGUGUACAAACUAAACUGAGCUCUGAACAGAACAUCAUACUCUUAUUUUUUAUUUUUUUUAAAAAGCUGUAUUCUUAACCAACU